rnacentral:rRNA from 1 species
UACGUAGGGUGCAAGCGUUAUUCGGAAUUACUGGGCGUAAAGCGUGCGUAGGCGGCUUUGCAAGACAGAUGUGAAAUCCCCGGGCUCAACCUGGGAACUGCAUUUGUGACUGCAUGGCUAGAGUACGGUAGAGGGGGAUGGAAUUCCGCGUGUAGCAGUGAAAUGCGUAGAUAUGCGGAGGAACACCGAUGGCGAAGGCAAUCCCCUGGACCUGUACUGACGCUCAUGCACGAAAGCGUGGGGAGCAAACAGG